rnacentral:misc_RNA from 1 species
AAGUCGUAACAAGGUUUUCCGUAGGUGAACCUGCGGAAGGAUCAUUCAAAUGAAUUAGGCUUCGCGGCCAAGUUUCUCACCCUUUGUAAUACCGAAACCAUGUUGCUUUGGCAGGCCCCUGCAUUUCGUCGGGCCUGCCAGAGGUUAUAAACCCCUAGAAUCUCUGCUGUCUGAGUACUAUAUAAUAGUUAAAA